CACGUAGGGCGCGAGCGUUGUCCGGAAUUAUUGGGCGUAAAGAGCUCGUAGGCGGCCUGUUGCGUCCGCUGUGAAAGCCCGGGGCUUAACCCCGGGUCGGCAGUGGAUACGGGCAGGCUAGAGGUAGGUAGGGGAGAAUGGAAUUCCCGGUGUAGCGGUGAAAUGCGCAGAUAUCGGGAGGAACACCGGUGGCGAAAGCGGCUCACUGGACCAUAACUGACGCUGAUGCACGAAAGCUGGGGGAGCAAACAGG
rnacentral:rRNA from 1 species